rnacentral:rRNA from 1 species
GUUUCCUACGGGACGCAGCAGUGAGGAAUAUUGGUCAAUGGGCGGGAGCCUGAACCAGCCAAGUCGCGUGAAGGAAGAAGGUACUUAGUAUUGUAAACUUCUUUUGUCGGGGAACAAGGGCGGAGACGCGUCUCCGGAUGAGUGUACCCGAAGAAAAAGCAUCGGCUAACUCCGUGCCAGCAGCCGCGGUAAUACGGAGGAUGCGAGCGUUAUCCGGAUUUAUUGGGUUUAAAGGGUGCGCAGGCGGGAGAUCAAGGCAGCGGUAAAAUGUCGGGGCUCAACCCCGGACGGCCGGUG